rnacentral:tRNA from 1 species
CUACCCCCAGGGGAAGUCGAAUCCCCGUUGCCUCCUU